AAUGAACGCUGGCGGCAUGCCUUACACAUGCAAGUCGAACGAGUGGCGAACGGGUGAGUAAUGUAUAGCAACGUACCGAGUAAUGGGGGAUAACCAAACGAAAGAUUGGCUCAUACCGCAUAUUAUCUGAGCGGCCGAUAACUGAUUAGCUAGUUGGGGGGGUAAAGGCCUACAAAGGCGACGAUCAGUAGCGGGUCUGGGAGGACGAUCCGCCACACUGGGACUGAGACACGGCCCAGACUCCUACGGGAGGCAGCAGUAGGGAAUUUUGGACAAUGGGGGCAACCCUGACCCAGCCAUGCCGCGUGUAUGAAGAAGGCCUUCGGGUUGUAAAGUACUUUUGUUAGGGAAGCGGUACCUAAAGAAUAAGCACCGGCUAACUACGUGCCAGCAGCCGCGGUAAUAC
rnacentral:rRNA from 1 species